GAUGAACGCUGGCGGCGUGCCUAAUACAUGCAAGUCGAGCGAACGGACGAGAAGCUUGCUUCUCUGAUGUUAGCGGUGGACGGGUGAGUAACACGUGGAUAACCUACCUAUAAGACUGGGAUAACUUCGGGAAACCGGAGCUAAUACCGGAUAAUAUUAUGAACCGCAUGGUUCAAAAGUGAAAGACGGUCUUGCUGUCACUUAUAGAUGGAUCCGCGCUGCAUUAGCUAGUUGGUAAGGUAACGGCUUACCAAGGCAACGAUGCAUAGCCGACCUGAGAGGGUGAUCGGCCACACUGGAACUGAGACACGGUCCAGACUCCUACGGGAGGCAGCAGUAGGGAAUCUUCCGCAAUGGGCGAAAGCCUGACGGAGCAACGCCGCGUGAGUGAUGAAGGUCUUCGGAUCGUAAAACUCUGUUAUUAGGGAAGAACAUAUGUGUAAGUAACUGUGCACAUCUUGACGGUACCUAAUCAGAAAGCCACGGCUAACUACGUG
rnacentral:rRNA from 1 species